rnacentral:rRNA from 1 species
GACGAACGCUGGCGGCGUGCUUAACACAUGCCAGUCGAACGGAAAGGCCCUGCUUUUGUGGGGUGCUCGAGUGGCGAACGGGUGAGUAACACGUGAGUAACCUGCCCUUGACUUUGGGAUAACUUCAGGAAACUGGGGCUAAUACCGGAUAGGAGCUCCUGCUGCAUGGUGGGGGUUGGAAAGUUUCGGCGGUUGGGGAUGGACUCGCGGCUUAUCAGCUUGUUGGUGGGGUAGUGGCUUACCAAGGCUUUGACGGGUAGCCGGCCUGAGAGGGUGACCGGCCACAUUGGGACUGAGAGACGGCCCAGACUCCUACGGGAGGCAGCAGUGGGGAAUAUUGCACAAUGGGCGGGAGCCUGAUGCAGCAACGCCCGUGCGGGAUGACGGCCUUCGGGUUGUAAACCGCUUUCGCCUGUGACGAAGCGUGAGUGACGGUAAUGGGUAAAGAAGCACCGGCUAACUACGUG